CAGCGUUACAGCUCUUUUAGAAUUUGCCUAGUAGGUUUUCCAAUCUACACUGGAAAGCCCCU
ensembl:snRNA U7 U7 small nuclear RNA